AUUGAACGCUGGCGGCAGGCCUAACACAUGCAAGUCGAGCGAGCGGCGGACGGGUGAGUAAUAUAUGGAGACUGCCCGCUAGAGGGGGAUAACUACUGUAAACGGUGGCUAAUACCGCAUACUAUCGGAUGACCCAUAUGGGAUUAGCUAGUGGGUGGGGUAAAGGCUCACCUAGGCGACGAUCUCUAGCUGGUCGGAGAGGAUGAUCAGGCACACGGGAACGGAGAUACGGCCCAGACUCCUAUGGAGGCAGCAGUGGGGAAUAUUGCACAAUGGGCGCAAGCCUGAUGCAGCCAUGCCGCGUGGAUGAAGAAGUCCUGAGGGUUGUAAAGUAAUUUCAGCGGUGAGGCGUUACCCGAAGAAGAAGCAUCGGCUAACUCCGUGCCAGCCGCCGCGGUAAUUC
rnacentral:rRNA from 1 species